rnacentral:lncRNA from 1 species
ACCCUAACCCUAAAGAGUCUUCUUCUUCAACCUAGGACACAAGACAAAAGAAAACCUAACAGUCAUCUUCCAUGAAGUUUAGAUAACAAGGAAAACCCUAGAACUCCAUGGAUGCCCAUCUUCUUCUUCGGCCAUAGGCUGAACCCCGAGACAACGAUACCUUCAGCCACCAACCCUUCUCGUGCAGCCACCCUUACGCCUCCAGCGACCCCCACUCAACCUUCUUCUUCAUGAAGCUCGACCUAAAACCUUAGAUGAACCCUAGAGAAAUCCACUCAACCAACAGCCGCCAUCCUUUCUCCUAGCACACAAGAUCCACCACCAGACCACCCCUCUCAGCAGCUAACUCCAAAAACAGCUCCAUCUACACCCACUCUCCAUUAUACCUUAAACUUCAUCAAAAAGCACACCAGCAAACUCCAGCCGUCCAAUACCCCAACCAUGGCCUGAGCUUCUUUUCACGACAACCAGAAUACACCUUAAAAACAAAAACCAUCGGACCUCCGAAACUGGUUAUCACUAGCCAGAAAACGCACGCACACAUGGUCAAGCAAGAAAGUUUAACAAGUCAGGAAAAUAACAAAAAACAAAUUUCAGUGCUCUUCUUCUUGGCGAUUUUGAUUUUCUAUUUGGUUAUGGAUUCGUUUGAAUUCCAAAGUUUACUUCUUCUAAUUUGCAUAGAAAUUGAUUCAGUUUUGCUCAUGGAGUUUUCUUGAGUGUCGUUGUUGAUUCAUGAUUUGUAAGGGGUUCCAUUCGAAGUUUUCCAGGUAGUUUCUUGGUUCCGUUGAGGUUGUCGAUGUCUAAGUCUUCCAGUAUAAGCAUUUUCACAUUUCAUUUCGAAAAAUAUAUCUGAGGUAUGUUUCUUUACUAAUUCUUGGUUAAUAUAAAUUUUGAUGUCUUGUGCAUUUAUAUGUGAAUGAAUGAAGUUUUUCUUCUCUAAGUGCGAUGUGCUUUUCAUUUAAUCUUCAUGCCUAUUUGAUGCUCACAUCAUAGUAUCUUGAACUAGCAUGCUAAAAAUGGUUAUUUAACGUAGGUUGCUACAUUGGUUAAUAUAGAAAGAGUUUGGGUUUAAGUUAUUCUAAAUAUAAAUUGGUCUUUGUGGUAAUUUUUCCCAUAAUUAGAAGCAAUCAGUGAGUUAGGAUCAGGUUUUUCACGACCCCAAUCCCUGAUCGUGAUGGUGCCCAACACCAUGCUAGGCAAGCCCGGUCAUUAAACACUCACAAUCCCAUUCAUAUAGAAUUCAUUAGUAAUUGACAAAAUUAAUGCUAGUUUAAUACCAAUAGAUGUCUGAACAAUAUAUGAAAUAAGCGAAAAAAUCAUAAUAAUAUCUCUACAAGCCCAACAAAUCUGGUGUCAUAAGUCUGAGCCUCUAAUACAAGAUGUCAACUCCUAAUACAUAGAUAGUCUAGAGUACUCAAAUGUAAAAGAUAGAGGGAGAACAUCGAAUCUGUGGAUGCCAUGCAACUACCUCGAUAACUCCGUGGGAACUGAACAACUAGAAACUCGCACUACACCUCAGGGACACCCGGAUCUGCACACACGGUGCAGGAAGUAAUGUGCGUACUCCGACCCAGUAAGUAAUAAUCAUAAAUAAUGGCUGACAGUAUAAAAUCACGUAAAAGCACUAAGAAGUUCUACAUCAAAGUAGUAAAACACUUUAAAAUAGUAAAAUAAUGGGUAAACCAAGAAAUAUCUCUUUAAAUUAGGUAAACAGGUAAUUUAUCGGAUGUUUAGCAAGUAUCGAUCCGCUCCUCGAGCAUACUGUUCAAUUAUUUAUUACUUAGCCUUAGUAUUCAAUUUAUAUACUCUUUUCAAUAACUAAAAUCAAAAUAUACCGAUGCGGCAUGUAGUCCGAUCCGUAUAUCGCUGUGGCGUAUAGCCCGAUCCAUAUAAUUAGUCGACUGUGCUCACUGGGGGUGUGCAAACUCCAGGAAGGGCUCCUACAACACAAGCACUAUAUUGUUGUGGCGCGUAGCCCAAUCCACACACACACACACACACACAUAUAUAUAUUUCCAAAACCAUGUCAAUCGAGCAUUAGAAGCAUUUACCCGUCAAUUAGCCACCUAGGUGAAAGUCACCACCCUAGUGCCUUUCCUAUCCAUUAGAUUUAACUCUUAGCAAUUUUGCAUUAGCAUGAUUUGGUUAUAAUUAGUAGUUGAUAUUUGUAACUUGUUAAAGAAAAAUCAAAAGAUGUUUGACAGUGAUAGUUAGAAUAAUUACACGACUCUAGACUAGAUAGAUACUCGACUCUCGUUCUAGCUCCCUGAGGAAUUCGAUCUCGACCCUCAUAUUGGGUAAACGCUAUUCCGACCCUCUCUUCCUACUAUAAUCUUGACAAUAAAAAGUGUAAAGAUAACAUGUGUAACAAGAGUUAGCAAGGAAAUAAUCAAUAUUAUCUUUAUCCCCAUGAUGGGCGCCAAACUAUUAACCUCGAAAAAUGUGAGUAACAAUUAAAGAUAAUCUAUGGUUUCAAAAAUAUGUGAUUUAUUCCAAUACUAGUGAAUAUACAAGUAAUAUUAGGUUUAAGUAAGAAGAAUUGAUGAACCAAACUAGUGUUGUUGGAGAAGCGGGGACCUCAAGCUCGAUUAUCUUGGGGGCCUCGAGGUGAUCUAAGAGCCAAUAAAGUAUGAAAAAUAAAGUAAAAUAAUAAAGCUGCAGAACAAUUGUUGAGCACGGGAAAAGCAAAGUAGAAUAUUCUAUUGCAGUCAAUGAGAUGUUUUUACCAAGAUUAGGGUCCCCUUUUUAUAUAAGGGGAAAACCCUAAUAUGGUACAGUUCCAAUUAUGACAAAAAAUUCUAUUGAUACAACUGUAUAACAACACAGUACGGACUUUUACUAUUUCCUACAGAUCUUAUGUUACAUUCCAUAUUUUUGUAUAUGAGAAUACGUCGUAAGCCAAUUGAUGUAAGCUCGAAAAUAAGAUUAUUUUUAAAGUACAUAACGUAAGUUCAUUAUUUUAUCUUGGAGGUUACAAAUUUUUACUAUCAUGAAUAACAAGUACCAAAAGGGCUGGAAAGCUUAGACGCUAAACGAACUGAAGAAAAUAAGUUUUAUCGAAAGUCGACAGUUUGGAAUAUUAUAACAUAUCCUUUUUGGGUGAGGCUAGGGUGAUUAACAUAACAAGGAAGUUAAGCUAUGAGUUAUUAGUCGCAUGAUAGUCAUGCAUUAUGUUUUUAAGUUAAUCAAGUUGUGGAACAGAAGUUGGCAAAGGUCAUCACAAGUUGCAUUUAUAAUGUGCUGAAAUUUAGGUCAUAUGUAGAUGCACUUUUCUCCCAAUAUACUAAGAAUCAAGGGAUUAUCUGCAUAUCAAAUUGAAUAUAUAUUAGUCUAGUUUCUAACGCAUUAAACCGUUUGUCAAUACGAUGUUGGACUAGAGAGAUAUUCGCGUUUUAGCAAGACUGCGCCAAGCAGCUCUCUAUGGGGCCCAUAUAGGCGGUUUACGACAUAUGGAUAUAUAUAAGAUGUCUCAACCCCAAUUUAAGUCAUUAUUUUCUGUGCAUUCAGACCUUAAAACCCUAGAGACACUCUCUCAAGGUUCUCUCAGUAUCCAAGACCCAAACAAAGGGCAAACAACACAAAUCAAGUGUCGGGAAUCAUGUGGCGCAAGUAAAUUUCUUGUUCUUCUUGUUGUUGCUGAUUUUUGGACGGUUCCAGCUCAUGUGGGUGGUUGUUUUAAUUGGUUUAUGUUAUGUAAAAUACUCUCUCAUGGUUUUCAUAUCAACCCUACGUUAUUUCAAGUCUUGCAAUGGAUUACAACAUAUUUCAACAUCAAAAGUGAAGAAUAACACCUCUUUGAGGUUGUGUUGUCAUUAAGGAUAGUUGUGGGCUAUUUUAUGCUGAAAUUUUAAGUUGUUGCUACUGGAUCAAGUGAGUAUAAUAGCCUACUAAUUUUGCUUAAGCUUGCUUGUAUGUUGGUUAAGUUGUAAGGAUGAUAAAUUAAAAGAUAAUACUUGGAUAAGUUUAAGUCACUUCUAUGGUGUUGUGUUGCCAUUGAGGAUUGGUGUAAGCUAAAUAUAACUUAAAUUUUAACUUGAAGCUACUGUAGGAGGUAUGUGUAUUUUGUUCUUGCAGGUGUUUAAGGAUUUUAAAGUGAUGAAUGCUCGUUGAAAAAAAAUUUAAAAGAAGAGGAAAAAUAAAGUUAAUAAUGGGUGCUUACUUAAUAUUUAUUUAAAUAUUUGUAAUUGUUUAUAUAAAUUUACCAAAUAUGGUCAAAUUAAUAGGUGCUUAAGCACCCACCGGUGCUCAUGUGGAUUCGGCAUUGGCAACACAUAGCAGUAAUGGUUCAAUACCUAAAAGCAUGAAAGACAACCAAAAUAACCAAAAGACUACCAUCAGGUCGCCCAUUCUAAUCUGAAACAAGAGUGAUCGAAUGGGAUACGUCAAGCAUAUAACCCGAAUGGACUAGAUAUCUAUGGUGCCAUACUCCGAUGUAUCCUAAAUCUUUUCGAGAUUGGGGCCCUGUCUGUUACGCUAUCACAGUUAUACCUUUGAAGGAUUGCAUUAUGUUUUUGUAUAGCCGCCUUGAAGGCCGACAUUCAACUAGAAUUACUUCAUUGCGUUCUUCAAUUCUGUUUUGAUUAUUGUUAACAUUUAUAGUAUUUUAUGCAAAACACUUUGGAUUAAUUUGUUUGCUAGUAACCGUAAAAUAUAAAUUCAAUUGCUUAUUAUACAAUCAGAUUUUGGGUCAAACAUAUAUACGGUGAAAUCAGAGGGUCCAAUUCCUCACCAUCAAAACACCUCAGAGGAUCAUCUCAGAGGCUCGAGUCUUGAAGGCUACGGUCGUGUUUCCACUCUCGAGGUUCGCCGAUGCUCGACCUGAGGACAAUGUUGACCACGGCUGUGAUAGAAAUGGGGAGUUCCCAAGACACAGAGCUAGGGCUGACAAAGUCUAGUAUACUACUCUAAACCCGAAUCAGGGCGCCAUCUAGUUGUCCCAUCUCUAUAUCUUUAUAAUUAAUGCAUUUUUGUACUAUGUUGGGAUUCCCCUCAUAAAGGGGAUCCUUAUCAUUUUAGAGAUCUUUGUUGCUUUAGUUGCUCCAUACAAAAUAUAUAAGAAUAUUCUCUCUGCUCUCUAACAUGUUCUCUUGAUAUUAUUGCUUCUUUUUAUUAUCUUCAUUAUUGUUCAUCAUUUAUUGCUUAUCAUUGGCCAUAAAGAGCCUUCAUUGAUUUUUUUAUAACUGUUAGUCAUACUCUAAUCACCUUUGAUAGCUCACUAUCGAGAUCCG